UACGGGGGGGGCAAGCGUUGUUCGGAAUUACUGGGCGUAAAGGGCUCGUAGGUGGCCAACUAAGUCAUACGUGAAAUCCCCAGGCUCAACUUGGGAACUGCGUCUGAUACUGGAUGGCUUGAAUUCGGGAGAGGGAUGCAGAAUUCCAGGUGUAGCGGUGAAAUGCGUAGAUAUCUGGAGGAAUACCGGUGGCGAAGGCGGCAUCCUGGACCGAGAUUGACACUGAUGAGCGAAAGCUAGGGGAGCAAACGGG
rnacentral:rRNA from 1 species